UACCAGCACCCCGAGUGGUCGGGACGAUUAUUGGGCCUAAAGCAUCCGUAGCCGGUUUUACAAGUCCUCCGUUAAAUCCAGCUGCUUAACAGAUGGGCUGCGGAGGAUACUAUAAGACUAGGAGGCAGGAGAGGCAAGCGGUACUCAGUGGGUAGGGGUAAAAUCCGUUGAUCCAUUGAAGACCACCAGUGGCGAAGGCGGCUUGCCAGAAUGCGCUCGACGGUGAGGGAUGAAAGCUGGGGAGCAAACCGGG
rnacentral:rRNA from 1 species